AUUGAACGCUGGCGGCAUGCCUUGCACAUGCAAGUCGAACGGUAACAGGUCUUCGGAUGCUGACGAGUGGCGAACGGGUGAGUAAUACAUCGGAACGUGCCUAGUAGUGGGGGAUAACUACUCGAAAGAGUGGCUAAUACCGCAUGAGAUCUACGGAUGAAAGCGGGGGAUCGCAAGACCUUGUGCUACUAGAGCGGCCGAUGGCAGAUUAGGUAGUUGGUGGGAUAAAAGCUUACCAAGCCGACGAUCUGUAGCUGGUCUGAGAGGACGAUCAGCCACACUGGGACUGAGACACGGCCCAGACUCCUACGGGAGGCAGCAGUGGGGAAUUUUGGACAAUGGGCGCAAGCCUGAUCCAGCAAUGCCGCGUGCAGGAUGAAGGCCUUCGGGUUGUAAACUGCUUUUGUACGGAACGAAAAGCCUUGGGUUAAUACCCUGGGGUCAUGACGGUACCGUAAGAAUAAGCACCGGCUAACUACGUGCCAGCCGCCGCGGUAAGAC
rnacentral:rRNA from 1 species